UAUUAGAUAGCUGUUCCCAUCCAG
rnacentral:piRNA from 1 species